CGGCAGUGAUGUCUUUCUUAGGACACCUUUGGAUGUACCGUGAAAAUAAAAUACAUUCUGAGCAGC